rnacentral:rRNA from 1 species
CUUGGUGCUUUUGGCGAUAGGGGUACACCCGAUCCCAUGCCGAACUCGGAAGUUAAGCCUAUCAGCGCCGAUGGUACUUGGGGGGCAACCCCCUGGGAGAGUAGGCCAGUGCCAAGU